rnacentral:rRNA from 1 species
CAUCCUGGGGCUGAAGUAGGUCCCAAGGGUAUGGCUGUUCGCCAUUUAAAGUGGUACGCGAGCUGGGUUUAGAACGUCGUGAGACAGUUCGGUCCCUAUCUGCCGUGGGCGCUGGAGAACUGAGGGGGGCUGCUCCUAGUACGAGAGGACCGGAGUGGACGCAUCACUGGUGUUCGGGUUGUCAUGCCAAUGGCACUGCCCGGUAGCUAAAUGCGGAAGAGAUAAGUGCUGAAAGCAUCUAAGCACGAAACUUGCCCCGAGAUGAGUUCUCCCUGACUCCUUGAGAGUCCUGAAGGAACGUUGAAGACGACGACGUUGAUAGGCCGGGUGUGUAAGCGCAGCGAUGCGUUGAGCUAACCGGUACUAAUGAACCGUGAGGCUUAACCUUACAACGCCGAAGCUGUU